rnacentral:lncRNA from 1 species
AUCAGAACACUAAGCUAUGUAAAGAUCAUUGCUGUUUGGUCAAAUCAUGUCUACAGAUAUGACAAAGGAACUCUAUGCAUAAGCUGGCUUUCCUCACAGGAAAGGUAUAGUAACAUGUUUCCCUCAUGAUGGGCACUGGGAAUUGAUUUCAUCCUUUAUCAUCUAAAAACAUAUGGCUAAAGUUUCAACAAGGAGAAAAAAAAUUGUGCCUCAACAUUAUCACUCAGGAAACCUGCUUUCCUGCUUCUUAAAAGGAGUAGAGUCAUUUUGUGCUAACAAUUGGAUCUGAGAAACGGUUUGGCACAGUUCAAACAAACAUUCCUUCGCUCUUGGUCGGACUAGACAAAAUGUUCUCUCUGAUUAUCAGAAAGGGGGCUAUAUAAAGAUCUCGUCUUAGACCAUG